UUGCUGGGUUGGAUGAGUGGCGAACGGGUGAGUAACACGUGAGUAACCUGCCCCCUUCUUUGGGAUAACGGUCGGAAACGGCUGCUAAUACCGGGUAUUCACUGUCCUUCGCAUGGGGGGUGGUGGAAAGGUUUUUUCUGGUGGGGGAUGGGCUCGCGGCCUAUCAGCUUGUUGGUGGGGUGAUGGCUUACCAAGGCUUUGACGGGUAACCGGCCUGAGAGGGUGACCGGUCACAUUGGGACUGAGAUACGGCCCAGACUCCUACGGGAGGCAGCAGUGGGGAAUAUUGCACAAUGGGCGAAAGCCUGAUGCAGCGACGCCGCGUGAGGGAUGACGGCCUUCGGGUUGUAAACCUCUUUCGCUCAUGGUCAAGCCGCAACAGUGGUUGUGGUGAGGGUAGUGGGUAAAGAAGCACCGGCUAACUACGUGCCAGCAGCCGCGGUAUACGUAGGUGCGGCUUGUCCGGAUUAUUGGGCGUAAAGGGCUUGUACGCGGGUUGUCGCGUCUGCCGUGA
rnacentral:rRNA from 1 species